rnacentral:rRNA from 1 species
UAGGGAAUCUUCCGCAAUGGACGAAAGUCUGACGGAGCAACGCCGCGUGAGUGAUGAAGGUUCUCGGAUCGUAAAGCUCUGUUGCCAGGGAAGAACAGCUAGGAGAGUAACUGCUCUUAGNGUGACGGUACCUGAGAAGAAAGCCCCGGCUAACUACGUGCCAGCAGCCGCGGUAAUACGUAGGGGGCAAGCGUUGUCCGGAAUUAUUGGGCGUAAAGCGCGCGCAGGCGGCCUUGUAAGUCUAGUGUUUAAUCUCGAAGCUCAACUUCAUUCGCACUGGAAACUGCAAAGCUUGAGUACAGAAGAGGAAAGUGGAAUUCCACGUGUAGCGGUGAAAUGCGUAGAGAUGUGGAGGAACACCAGUGGCGAAGGCGACUUUCUGGGCUGUAACUGACGCUGAGGCGCGAAAGCGUGGGGAGCAAACAGGAUUAGAUACCC